rnacentral:rRNA from 1 species
AGUGAACGCUGGCGGUAGGCCUAACACAUGCAAGUCGAACGGCAGCACAGUAAGAGCUUGCUCUUACGGGUGGCGAGUGGCGGACGGGUGAGGAAUACAUCGGAAUCUACUUUUUCGUGGGGGAUAACGUAGGGAAACUUACGCUAAUACCGCAUACGACCUACGGGUGAAAGCAGGGGAUCUUCGGACCUUGCGCGAUUGAAUGAGCCGAUGUCGGAUUAGCUUGUUGGCGGGGUAAAGGCCCACCAAGGCGACGAUCCGUAGCUGGUCUGAGAGGAUGAUCAGCCACACUGGAACUGAGACACGGUCCAGACUCCUACGGGAGGCAGCAGUGGGGAAUAUUGGACAAUGGGCGCAAGCCUGAUCCAGCCAUACCGCGUGGGUGAAGAAGGCCUUCGGGUUGUAAAGCCCUUUUGUUGGGAAAGAAAAGCAGCAGGUUAAUACCCCGCUGUUCUGACGGUACCCAAAGAAUAGGCACCGGCUAACUUCGUG